rnacentral:rRNA from 1 species
UGGGGAAUUUUGGACAAUGGGCGAAAGCCUGAUCCAGCCAUGCCGCGUGAGUGAAGAAGGCCUUCGGGUUGUAAAGCUCUUUCGGACAGAAAGAAAUCGCACGGGUAAAUAAUCCGUGUGGAUGACGGUACUGUAAGAAGAAGCACCGGCUAACUACGUGCCAGCAGCCGCGGUAAUACGUAGGGUGCGAGCGUUAAUCGGAAUUACUGGGCGUAAAGCGUGCGCAGGCGGUUGCAUAAGACAGAUGUGAAAUCCCCGGGCUUAACCUGGGAACUGCGUUUGUGACUGUGUAACUGGAGUACGGCAGAGGGGGGUGGAAUUCCUGGUGUAGCAGUGAAAUGCGUAGAUAUCAGGAGGAACACCGAUGGCGAAGGCAGCCCCCUGGGCCUGUACUGACGCU